CCCAGCGGUUAAUUUCAGCUUCCAAUAGCGUAUAUUAAAGUUGUUGCAGUUAAAAAGCUCGUAGUUGAAGGUGGCGGGGGGCGGGAAGGGUCGGAGGAGAAAUCCRACGACCARAACAAACCCUGCAUGAUCUUGAUGGGUGGGGGAACGGGCUUYGUGUGCAAUUGAGUUUGCGGACGGGGCUUGCCACCUGAUUACUGUGAAAAAAUUAGAGUGUUCCAKGCGGUUGGGUUUCGAUUGAAUAGAUUAGCAUGRAAUAAUGGAAGAGGACGAUGUUUCCGCUUUUGUUGGUUCGGGUGGAUGAUGUUGUAAUGAUUAAUAGGGACAGUUGGGGGCAUUAGUAUUUAAUAGCUAGAGGUGAAAUUCCAGGAUUUAUGAAAGACUGACUUCUGCGAAGGCAUUUGCCAAGGAUGUUUUCAUUGGUCAAGAACGAAAGUUAGGGGAUCGAAGACGAUUAGAUACCGUCGUAGUCUUAACUGUAAACUAUGCCGACUCGRGCUCUGUGGUGCUGUUUGGAGCGCAUGGGGACCGUGAGAGAAAUCGGAAGUGUUUGGSUUCUGGGGAGAGUAUGGUCGCAAGGCUGAAAUUUAAAGGAAUUGACGGAAGGGCACACCAGAAGUGGAGCCUGCGGCUUAAUUUGACUCAACAGCGGGGAAACUCACCASGUCCAGUACAUARUGAGGAUUGACAGAWUGAGASACUCUYUCUWGAUUCYAKGUSUGGAGUGCMYAGGCCGUUCUUAGUUGGUGGGGCGACUUGUCUGGUUA
rnacentral:rRNA from 1 species